rnacentral:rRNA from 1 species
AGCGAACGCUGGCGGCGUGCCUAACACAUGCAAGUCGUGCGAGAAACUCCGCUUCGGCGGAGGAGUACAGCGGCGCACGGGUGAGUAACGCGUAGGUAACCUACCCCUGGGACCGGGAUAACGUGCCGAAAGGCGCGCUAAUACCGGAUAACAUGGAUGAGGGGGACCUCAUCCAUCAAAGGUGGCCUCUGUUUCAUGCUACUACCUGGGGAUGGGCCUGCGUCCCAUUAGCUUGUUGGUGGGGUAAUGGCCUACCAAGGCGACGAUGGGUAGCGGGUCUGAGAGGAUGAUCCGCCACACUGGAACUGGAACACGGUCCAGACUCCUACGGGAGGCAGCAGUGAGGAAUAUUGGACAAUGGGCGAAAGCCUGAUCCAGCAACGCCGCGUGGGUGAAGAAGGCCUUCGGGUCGUAAAGCCCUGUCAGAGGGGACGAAACCCUGCCUGGCUAAUAUCCAGGAAGGCUGACGGUACCCUCAGAGGAAGCGCCGGCUAACUCCGUGCCAGCAGCCGCGGUAACACGGAGGGCGCAAGCGUUGCUCGGAAUCACUGGGCGUAAAGCGGGUGUAGGCGGUCUAGCAAGUCAGAUGUGAAAGCCCACGGCUCAACCGUGGAAGUGCAUCUGAAACUGCUAGACUUGAGUGCCGGAGAGGGAAGUGGAAUUCCUGGUGUAGGGGUGAAAUCCGUAGAUAUCAGGAGGAACACCGGUGGCGAAGGCGACUUCCUGGACGGUAACUGACGCUGAGACCCGAAAGCGUGGGGAGCAAACAGGAUUAGAUACCCUGGUAGUCCACGCCCUAAACGAUGGGCACUAGGUGCUGGGGGUAUUACCCCCCCGGUGCCGUAGCUAACGCAUUAAGUGCCCCGCCUUGGGGAGUACGGCCGC